rnacentral:rRNA from 1 species
AUUGAACGCUGGCGGCAUGCUUUACACAUGCAAGUCGAACGGUAACAGGCCGCAAGGUGCUGACGAGUGGCGAACGGGUGAGUAGUGCAUCGGAACGUGCCCAGUCGUGGGGGAUAACGCAGCGAAAGAUGCGCUAAUACCGCAUACGAUAUAUGGAUGAAAGCGGGGGACCGUAAGGCCUCGCGCGAUUGGAGCGGCCGAUGUCAGAUUAGGUAGUUGGUGGGGUAAAGGCUCACCAAGCCAACGAUCUGUAGCUGGUCUGAGAGGACGACCAGCCACACUGGGACUGAGACACGGCCCAGACUCCUACGGGAGGCAGCAGUGGGGAAUUUUGGACAAUGGGCGCAAGCCUGAUCCAGCAAUGCCGCGUGCAGGAAGAAGGCCUUCGGGUUGUAAACUGCUUUUGUACGGAACGAAACGGCUCUGGUUAAUACCUGGGGCUAAUGACGGUGCCGUAAGAAUAAGCACCGGCUAACUACGUGCCAGCCGCCGCAGUAAAAC